UGGGGAAUAUUGCACAAUGGGCGCAAGCCUGAUGCAGCCAUGCCGCGUGUAUGAAGAAGGCCUUCGGGUUGUAAAGUACUUUCAGCGGGGAGGAAGGGAGUAAAGUUAAUACCUUUGCUCACUGACGUUACCCGCAGAAGAAGCACCGGCUAACUCCGUGCCAGCAGCCGCGGUAAUACAGAGGGUGCAAGCGUUAAUCGGAAUUACUGGGCGUAAAGCGCACGCAGGCGGUUUGUUAAGUCAGAUGUGAAAUCCCCGGGCUCAACCUGGGAACUGCAUCUGAUACUGGCAAGCUUGAGUCUCGUAGAGGGGGGUAGAAUUCCAGGUGUAGCGGUGAAAUGCGUAGAGAUCUGGAGGAAUACCGGUGGCGAAGGCGGCCCCCUGGACGAAGACUGACGCUCAGGUGCGAAAGCGUGGGGAGCAAACAGG
rnacentral:rRNA from 1 species